rnacentral:rRNA from 1 species
GCGCGAAAACUUUGCAAUGCGGGAAACCGUGACAAGGGAACUCCGAGUGCCCGUAAAUUCGGGCUGUCCAUCAGUUUAAAUAACUGGUGAAGAAAGGGCCGGGCAAGACCGGUGCCAGCCGCCGCGGUAAUACCGGCGGCUCGAGUGGUGGCCACUAUUACUGGGCUUAAAGCGUCCGUAGCUGGUCUGUUAAGUCUCUGGGGAAAUCUGCCGGCUUAACCGGCAGGCGUCUCAGGGAUACUGGCAGACUAGGGACCGGGAGAGGUGAGGGGUACUCCAGGGGUAGGAGUGAAAUCCUGUAAUCCUUGGGGGACCACCUGUGGCGAAGGCGCCUCACCAGAACGGCUCCGACAGUGAGGGACGAAAGCUGGGGGAGCAAACCGGAUUAGAUACCCGGGUAGUCCCAGCUGUAAACGAUGCGCGUUAGGUGUAUCGGUGACCACGAGUCACCGAGGUGCCGAAGGGAAACCGUGAAACGUGCCGCCUGGGAAGUACGGUCGCAAGGCUGAAACUUAAAGGAAUUGGCGGGGGAGCACCGACAACGGGUGAGCCUGCGGUUU